GUAGGUGGCAAGCGUUGUCCGGAAUUAUUGGGCGUAAAGCGCGCGCAGGGUGGUUCUUUAAGUCUGAUGUGAAAGCCCCCGGGCUCAACCGGGGAGGGUCAUUGGAAACUGGGGAACUUGAGUGCAGGAGAGGAAAGUGGAAUUCCACGUGUAGCGGUGAAAUGCGUAGAUAUGUGGAGGAACACCAGUGGCGAAGGCGACUUUCUGGCCCGUAACUGACACUGAGGCGUGAAAGCGUGGGGAGCAAACAGGAUUAGAUACCCUGGUAGUCCACGCCGUAAACGAUGAGUGCUAAGUGUUGGGGGGUUUCCGCCCCUCAGUGCUGCAGCUAACGCAUUAAGCACUCCGCCUGGGGAGUACGGUCGCAAGACUG
rnacentral:rRNA from 1 species